UGGGAUCAUUGUAGCAGAUGCUGAUGGUGACCUUAGUUCUCUGGUGCUGAGAGCUGCUUACCGCAAGCACCUGUGGAGCAUGAGCAGCCUGAGCACAGGACAAGCAGGAAGGGUGGAGGGUUAAUGUCCCUGAAGCAGCAUCAACCAAUGGCAGAUAAGGGAUCUAUAUAUGAACACCGUAGUGUUCUUGCCUCUAGGAUGGAAUAGUAACUCUUAAGAGUGUUCUGCUCUAUCUCCGAGAGUUCCCCAGCAAGACAGAGCCCCAAUUGCUCAUCAUGGAACCCCAAGGAGCAUGAGGACAUCCUGAACAGAGGCCACCUCAGGAGAGCUGAAGGAGCAGGAGAGCAGCCCUGGUGCACCCUGCCCAGGCUCAACUCCUCCCGCAGAACUAAGCCAGGGCUGAGAAGUUCCUUGAAAGAGGCUGCUCUUUGGAAGCCUUGCACAUUUCUGAAGGCUGCCAAGAGAGUGUGUGGCUGAAACCAGAGUGAGGACCCAUGCUUCCUUGAGGUGGAGCCCAGGCACUUGGGCAAACAGCUGAUAGGAGUUCAUUUUGUGAAGCUGUCACGAGUUUUCCAGUAGACCAUGAGCUUGCUGAUGGCAGGAGCCUGCCUGUCCUUGAUCCUUGUUUCUGUGGGGUCUAUCCCAGUGCCUGGCACAGUGGCUUUGGAGAUGGAAGGAAUAGAGGGAGCCCAACAUCAAGGUGGAGCCUGUUGUUGUUCAUAUCCGGUGGAUGGAGAAACUAAGGAAACAGAUGCUUUGAGAGUCUAACUCUCCCAAAUGCACACAGCCAUUGUGUGAGAAGCCAGCACCUGACUCCAGAACAGUGUCUCUCCCAAGCUCUCACUCUGCAGGUCCGUGAUCCAGACUCAAAGUAAUUGGGAUCAUGUGGGACACCUGGAAGUCACAACUCCCUAUGAUUUGGAUGCAGAUCCCACCUCUCUGGAUCCUGCCCAUCUGUAGAUAGCAAUUGUACUUCUCUAGAAGAAGGUUCCAGUUCUCAUCCCUGCCCACCAGCAUGGCCACCUAUGAACCUGUGAAAACUCUUGGUCGGGGACAGGGCCUGGUGACUGCAAGUUGCUCACUCAGUCUGGCAAAGACAUGAUUUUUUCUGUGUUCUCUGACAAGUCCAGGCUGGCCUGCCUGGGUGUUGCCAUCCCUGUGGCAUCUGCCGGGGACAUCCCAGUUCUAUCUUCUUGUGCUUACUGCUCUUUCUGACUUUGGUUCUGAAUGACCCUGUAAAGGUGUCUGUGUGGGUUUAUGUGGAGAUAGAAUAUAUGGAAAAUGAUGCAGCCCUAGGCCACAACAAAGGCGAAACUCAGCCUCUGCCUUCUUCUCUGACCAAUAACUCGACCUUCCCCAGCCCCAGCUCUUCCCAUAGCACUUUUAAGAGCAGAUCCUCAAACACAGCCUGCAUCUCUCCCUGCUCCCCUCCCACCCUCCAGUUUUCCAGCCAGAGGCAUUUGCUCUAAGGCCCAGGCUGUGGCCCACCUAUCACCGCUACCCAAGUAGUACAGGAAAAGGAAAUUUGAAGAGGAAAAGAGGCACCAGGGAUGAGGACACACCGAGAAAAGACCAUGUGAAGACAUGGCGAGAAGACAGCCAGCUGCAAGCCAAGGAGUGAGGCCUCAGAAGAAACCAACCCUGCCGACACCUUGACCUUGGACUUCUAGUCUCUAGAAUUAUGCGAAAAUAAAUUCCUGUUGUUUAAGCCACCCACUCUGUAGUAUUUUGUUAUGGCAGCCCCAAGCAAACUAAUACAGUAUCCUUGAAGAAAGAAGAAUUAUAAAACCUAACAGUUAAGGGGCAGUUAAUUGACAUAUUAAUAAUUCAUUUAGUCUUCUCUUCACAGAAACUCUCUAUAGGAGUUAUUACCAUUUAUCACCAUUUUACAGAGGAGAAAACUGAGGCACAAGAGGUCAAGUAACCUGCUUCAAAGUCAUAACUAGUAAGUGACAGAGGCAGUUUCUUCACUCUCAGUCCUCUAAAAAGCAAAGCCCAAGGUUAAAGUGCUGACAUUUAGU
rnacentral:lncRNA from 10 species